CCAUCGGUGGUUCAGUGAUAGAAUGCUCGCCUGCCACGCUGGCGGCCCGGGUUCGAUUCCCGGCCGAUGCA
rnacentral:tRNA from 1 species